GAAAUUUCAAAGUAAACUCGAAGAGUACGAGGAGAUCGUCGAUGAUUUCGAUGCAAUCGGAUCCGUGUACCUUUUAUCCUCGGUUAAUAUCUCCACACCGCGGUGGGAGGAUCGGAAAGUGCGAAAGUACAUGCGAACUCCUCGGAUCCCUCGCGUGCUACGUGUCAUUAGACAGCAGGUUACCAUCUAAUUGCAAGUGCAUCGUUCCACCCACGGUUCCUUCAAAGGACUCGCCAGAAAAUUUAUAUACUGCCCGUUUGGCAACAACUUUUAUUAGAACGUUUCAUCGAUCGGUGCUGAGAUCUGGAAACGAGCAGCAUCGGUUUUGAACCGAGGAAGCCAAGAGCGAACAAUGUUGCGGCACAGGUCGUUCAUUACUGGUUCGGUAGUAAUCGAGGGACUAUUGCGAAGAAAAGAAACGGCAGGUUGCUUCCCACGGUGAUUUCGCGGCGUUCGUCACGAAUCGCAUGACGACACCAGACGACAACGAGACAGAGGAAUCGUUUCGAGGGAUCCAGGACGCCUUUUCGGGCGGCGCAUCGUCGCGUUUACAACAUCGUAGAUAUAUUCUGCAGGAAACGGGCGAGGAGAGGGCACGAAGGAGGAUCGUAGACGCUUCUAGCCUAGAUCAAAACCCGUAAUCACGAGAUGAUGACAAACCCGGGGGACAGAUGAAGCGGGGAAACGAGGAGAAACGGUCCAAGAAGAGAUCGAAUAAAGGGGGAUGAAGAACGAGGAGUCAAGACCUGAGCUGCGAAUGGGACACGUGUACGGUGUCACAUCUAUCUAAAAAGUUCAUCGUUACAAAGAAGAUCUUUUUGAAAGAGUUUCCUAGAAUGUGAACCGUCUCCGGGAACCGUGGCGGCGAGUGUGUAAUCGAAGGAAUCGUGGAACACUUUUCUCAUGCAAAUACGGCCCGAUGCGGGAAGGGACAACGAACUUCUUCUUUCGACUGCUUAAAACUUCGAACUUAGGUCCUUUUAAAUUUAAAUGUUCCUCCCCGCUCGAGCAGACGUUCCACACCGAGUUCUCUCGCGAACAUGAUAAAAAACGAAAGGAGCUUACCUCUUUUCUCAAUAAUACGUAUGCAUCUGAAUUUCUUUUUCAAUUACUAUCAACAGUUGGCUAAGUACAAAACUAAUAACUGUCUUAUUACAUAUGUAAACAAGUUAUGCGAUCUUUGCACCAGUCUAACAUACUGAUACAUUUAUAGAAAAAUUGUGUAAUGUAUAAAUACAAGACAAUAAAAGGUGAGUGCGAUGUA